rnacentral:rRNA from 1 species
CACGUAGGCACCAAGCGUUGUCCGGAUUUAUUGGGCGUAAAGAGCUCGUAGGCGGCUUGUCACGUCGGGUGUGAAAGCCCGGGGCCUAACCCCGGGUCUGCAUUCGAUACGGGCAGGCUAGAGUGUGGUAGGGGAGAUCGGAAUUCCUGGUGUAGCGGUGAAAUGCGCAGAUAUCAGGAGGAACACCGGUGGCGAAGGCGGAUCUCUGGGCCAUUACUGACGCUGAGGAGCGAAAGCGUGGGGAGCGAACAGG